CAGUCGCCGCGGUAAGACAGAGGAUGCAAGCGUUAUCUGGAAUGAUUGGGCGUAAAGGGCUCGCAGGCGGUUUCUUAAGUCUGAUGUGAAAGCCCCCGGCUCAACCGGGGAGGGUCAUUGGAAACUGGGAAACUUGAGUGCAGAAGAGGAGAGUGGAAUUCCACGUGUAGCGGUGAAAUGCGUAGAGAUGUGGAGGAACACCAGUGGCGAAGGCGACUCUCUGGUCUGUAACUGACGCUGAGGAGCGAAAGCGUGGGGAGCGAACAGGAUUAGAUACCCGCGUAGUCCCUGUCUCUUAUAC
rnacentral:rRNA from 1 species